GACCUUAGCCUUGGGGGUAUUCUGUCUUUACAGAUAAGUGGAGCCAUCUACUGCAGUGAGUGAAUAUGGUCAUUGAAAAGUCUGGACUCUGAAUAGAAGCUGGAAAAAGCUGGCAUGUUCAGGUCAGUCCCCCCCUUAAAUCUCGUCCGUGGCUACAUGGUCCAAACAGGAGGAACAAGUGAUUAGUUAUAUUGGUGUUAGUCUCAUAUUUACCUGACACAAAGCAGAUCCUAAAAAUGAACGUAUCGAUCAGUCAAAAACAGACGCUUGGAGCAGAAAAGUUGAAUUCCUCAUGACUCUGUUUCUUGGACAAACUUAAUUUGAUAAAAAUGUACAUUUGAGUGAGUUUACUGUAUACAAAUCAAUCCUGUAUUACCCAGUCUGAGUUUCGCUUUGGCAGCUUAUUGAAUAGCGGCUCUUAUAUGAGAGGUUAUGAGGCAUAGCGGCAGACGGUGACCUCGUCUUCCUCCUCACGGCGGCCUCUCUGCCGACUGCAGGCACUUUCUCCUCUCUGACAAUGAGAGCAGACAUGAUGUUUACAGCCAUAGAUUACAGAAACUUCAGCCAGACUCAAGCCGCAUUCACACCUUAACACACACACACACACACACACACACACACACACACACACACACACACACACACGCACACACACAGAUCUGUCAUCCUCAGACUGAUCUAAGCUGGUUAAUCAGAUUUCUGCUGCUCCUACCUGUUUGGAUCUGAAUCAACAGACACAAGCUGUCGACUCCUCUCCUCUCCUCUCUCUCUCUUCCCCUCCCUCUCUCCCCCUCUCUCCCCUUCCUCCUCUCUCUAUAGGUCUGCAGUGUGUAGGUGUGCGGCAGUGUGUAAUAGGUUUUUCGGUGCAGCUCUGCAGCCUGAAGCCUCUGUCGGGCUCGGUGGGAGAAAGUCAAUUACAGCAGGGCUGAGCCUGGCCUGCGGGGGGGCAUAUGGGAGGGAGAUAAGAACGUAAAGAUGGCCGCCGCGGAGCGCUCCCCCGGCUGCAUGCAUGGGCGGCGAGCACUGCACUUUGCCCUCCUGCAGCUUUCCAGACGCAGAGCUGGAGAGCUGCAGCAGGAGGACUGAGACUCAGCAACUGUUUUCAUUAUCAUUUAUUCUAAUGCGCAACUUUGGUAUUGAUUUUUAACGCCUUUAAAGGAUCAAUUUUACUCCUAUAAACUUAAAUUCACAAAAGACCUGAAGUUUACAAAUGUCUGUAGCUCCUAAGUGAUGAACUGCAUCUUAAAUCAACAUGUUACCACCAAGGUAACAACAGAAACUGUCACAUUCAGAUGUGUGUGCACGAUAUUCAACAGGUGAGAAAUCAAGACGACACAAUAUUCAGUUUACAGUUCAGUGGACCGCCUGUCCUGAUCCCAGUCCACAAGCCCUGCACAGGACCUGAUCUAUUGACAAAUGCAAGUCCUCCUCCGCUUUGCUCAGUCUUCUCUGGUGAGCCACAGACAUAAGAGACACAAUGACGUCCAACAAGAGGAGUCAAAGGCGCCCUGCAUACUUUCACGUCUUUGUUGGCGAUGUUACUCUCUGUUGUUUUCAGUACACAUCUUUGACAUGCAAGACUGUCGCCCAGCUGACAACCUUUACCAAAACAACUGAUCAACAACCCAGCAUGACACAUUCACAUUAGGCUGUAAUGCAUCUGUCUUCCACUAGCUGGAGUUGUUCCUAGAGAGUUCCCUGUUCAAACUGGUGUGAUCUGCUGGUUGUCAAAGUGAAACCAAACACCAAAUAUUGUUUUCAGCUAAAUGAGUAAAAGUCUGUGGAUGAACAAGGAGAACAAAAAAGGUCACCUGCUGUCUAAAAAAAAACAGUAUUUACAGUUCAGAGAGUUUCAGGGAGUCUGGAGGUUUAUAGACAAAUGUGGGCUCUUGAGUUAGUUCAGGGUGGAGCAGAGAGUCAGAGAGUGAAUGCUGAUCGAUGUGAAAUACUGACAGUUUGGAUAAUAAUUGUUUUUUACUUCUGACCCAUGAACUAAAAUAAUUCUCCAAAGAAAUCCUCCUCUGUUUUCAGUUUAGUUAACAGAGGGUUAAACUUUCCCACUGAGCAUCAAUUUGAUGAUUUUCAGGUCAAAAGACGUCUCAGAUAAACCUGCUGUAACUGUGGCUGAGGUGGAGUUUUCCUGCUUUAUUUUACUGUUGGCCCAUGUUUGGAUGAAAUCUGGAGUAGGUCUAAUGACCUCCUGGAGCGGAGAGAGGGUUUCAACCUUUCUUUGGGAACAUCCAAUCUCAGUAGUCUGAACCUGCACAAACUGCAGCUGAACUUCAGGAGAUCAGAUUCACAAGAAAGCAAACACAACAACACAGACGAUCUUCUCUGAGAAACACGAAGAGAAGAAGAAUCAGCUACCCUCACUCUCUGUAGUUGAGCAGGAGGCUCAGAAAGUUGCCAAGAUGGUUGUAGGUAGCAUGUAGUAGGAAGUGUGAGCUCCAUACACACAAAGACAAAAACCAGCACAAUAUUCUGAUUCUGUUUACCCUCAGUGUGUCUUAAUCAUGCAUUUAAGGCAAACAGUGGUUUCCUAUGUGGAGAUAACCUUCUUCCAGCUCUUCAUAUGUGACCCCAGAGGUGUUCCCAGUACAACUGAGAGACAUAGUCUUUCCAGCGUAUCCUGGAUCUCCUACUGUGGUUUGACGUGCCCUGAAUGCAUCACCAACGGCCACCUCAUCUGACUCCUCUCAAUGCGGAGGAGCAGCAGCUCUACUUUGAGCCCCUUUCAAAUGACAACGCUUCUCACCCUAACUCUAAGGGAGAGCCCAGCCGUCCUGGAAACUCAAUUUGGCCGUUGACCACCACAGACCUGUGCAGCAUCCGCGUCACUGCUGAUGCCACAUAAAUUCACCUGCAGAUCUCCUGCGCCAUUCUUCCCUCACUCAAGAACAAGACCCUGAGAUACUUCAACUCCUUCACUUAGGCAGGAUCUCCUCCCCAACUCUGAGAGGGUGCCUCACCUUUUUAGACAAUGACCAGCAAACUAGUUAAAGGCAGUGUUUCUAUUUGUUCCUUCGUUCUGCACCCUCACACGGUCCACUUUCAUAAUUUCAGGAAGGUUUCGGUGUAUUCGAAUUCAGAAGUUUGUUUUUUUGUUUCUCCUGGAGGUAAGAAGCAUAUAACUUAUGACAUAUGGACUGAACAUGUUUUCUCACUCUGAAGGUCAGAGAGGUAAAAGUCAAGAAAGUUUUGAAAGGAUCUGAGAGUUCGGAGAGUUCACCUGAUAGACCUGUGAGUAUCAUUGAGUUUUAUAGUUUUCUAUCAUGAAUCAAAACUGGAAAAAAUUGAAAUAGUACUAAUUCUGUUUGUUUUACUUAGACUCUGACUAUAUUUACAGUAAUUAACAGUGAAAACUGGACCUGAGGGACAGAGGUGUUUGCAGCUCUGCAGCUGCUUCAGUGUGUCAUACAGACACCAAAGUACAUCAGAUAUAUUCAACAUUUCACAGAAACCUUAAACCACAUGUGGUCUGGUUCAGCCUGCAGAUCCAGACUCCCUCCAGCCUGUCAAUGUGAAGUCUGCUCAGAGUGAAUCAGGGAAGUUUUAUGUUUCAGAUGGAGAGAAAUGAAGGAAGAGAUCACAGCAGAGACAGGAAGCAGAGCUCAGCUGGAAAUCCUGGGCUCAGACGACUGAACACUGGAGGUUUGGUGGUGACGCUGCUGAUGCUGUUGUCUUCAUUCAGAGCGGACUAACACCUGCGUGCAGAGACACACACUGGCAUGGGACAUACACUAAUACACGCAGAUAGAACUACACACACCAUCACAAAAGCACGUCUCGCCACAGAGGAUGAGAAAUUACAAAGCAAGACGGAAAUUAGUGCACACACAUGCACCUGAACACAUCAUACACACACACACUGGAGACAAUAGGACAGACUUUCAGCUAGUGUGUGUGUGUGUGAUUGAUACAUUAUCAAUUUACAGUCUGAUUAAGAGAAACUGAACCUUGUGUUCAUCACCUGAUGUUCUGUAUAUGAGUCCAGUGUCUGGUCCUUUAAGCUUUAUACUUGGUCUCCAAAAACUCCACGGAAAAAUAAAUCCGUCCACUUUUUUUCUACCAGCUAAAACUGAGUCUGCCUGCAGCUGAAUUUUUAAAACUAUGUCAAGAAAAAAAGAAAGACUCUCCUCUCAGACGGCAUGUCUGGGGGUAUUACAGACUCUUUGAAUGUCGAACAGUUUGUAUAUGAUAGAAACUGACAUUUUUAAGUUCAGUAUUUUUGUAUCCAAAACAUCAUCCACCAGCGCAUGCACCCCUACUAUAACUGUUUGGAUACUACACCUGGUUAGAACAGGUAUUGGUUUAACUGAGCUUCUGCUGGGAGAUGAGUGUUGGUCCUGCAGUGUGGCGUGCAUAUUUACAUUUGGAACUUUCUCUAUUCUUCUCCAGUUCUUGCUAAUCACCUACUGCAAAUGUUUCUUCUUCUCCUAUUUAGCGUGGGGUGAAUUCUUUCAUUGCGUUGCAGUUAACAGAGGACACACUUACGGAAGAUAAGAUAACGUUUGAACCAGCUGAUUUUCCAUAAUUAAAUGAAUAUCCUUUCUUUAAAGGUGCGUUUGAAGGUCUGGACCGAUGUCAGAGUUUGAUUAGGUUGGGGGCAAACCAGUGCAUUCUGUCAAGUAAGAAGACCUCAUAAGGACAGAAAUACAGUAAGGUGUGUGUGUGUGUGUGUGUGUGUGUGUGUGUGUGUGUGUGUGUGUGUGUGUGUGUGUGUGUGUGUGUGUGUGUGUGUGUGUGUUUCUAAAGCCCAAAGCUUCUGGCUGCACAGGAUUAGCAGUCUUGCGUUUCAAACAGAGCGAGCGACUGUCAGCCUGAUUCUCUCUCUCUCUCUCUGCAGAAGCUAAUAAGCUCUGCUGGUUCUCCUCCUGCAGAGAGCUGAUUACAGCAUUAUAUCUCAUAUACCCACAUUCACCUCCCAAUACACCCAUACACUCCUGCACUAACACAUACUGUACCACCUCACCUGAAGUUACCCUGGUAUGUAUCCCAAUGUACUCUCGUUACCAGACGGCUCUUCUCUGCAGGGUUAUUUUAGAGGCUCAUUAUGACUGCAGGUGUCUUCACAUAUAGUCCCACGUAUACUUCCUGCUCUCAUUAUUAUCCUAUAUUAUAUAUCUAAGUAAAUGGAAGACAACAGCACUGCCCAUGCUCACUUAGACUCUGUUCUAAUUUCACACUGUCUAAAAAAAGACAGUUACAUAUGUUAAGGCAGGACAUGUAUUUGUACCUACUUGACAGCACUCUAUUGUUGUUUAGUACACUCAUCUGAUGUACUUGUGAUGUCCUCCUCAUUAACGGGUUUUUAGUUUGCUGAAAUAACAACAUCAUGAUGCAGAUCCAAAGUCCAGCUUUGUCAGGUCUGUCCUCAAGAGGAGAAAACUGAGACACUAAAAGGAGACAACAGAAGAAGUGUGGGAAUCAAGACAUCAUUUCAACAGUUUAGUCAGAUCAAUAACAGUAUCGGUUUACGCCAUAGACAGUAUAUAGAAUGGAUGCCGUUUGCCUCCUCGCUGGGUGAAGCCACUCCGAGAACAGCACCCUCUGGUGACGGGCUGCAGUAUAGGUCAUAAAUCCCGUCUCCUCCAGCAAUCCCUAUGGAGAUGAGGACAAACUUUAGAAAUUUAUUACACAGAACAUAAUUUUUUUCUCCCCCCUGCUUGCAAUGUUGACAUGUAGUUAUUGUAAGACUGUUUUGUGCUCAAGUCCUCUUUUUUCCGUACAGCUCCAUUUUUAAAAGUUAUUUGGGGUUCAUGUUUGCUAUGAUUGACACUUGAUACAGCCUAUGGGCGUACGAAGAUUGCGUAGCUCACCUGGUGGAUACGCUGUUUGAGCCGAGCAUCAUCACAGCGACUCUCGGUGACUCUCCCGCCGAAUGCAUACAACGCUACUGCACAAUGUCAGUCCCAGUUUCAGGCUUCAAAUCCACAUACUGGCACAAGGCAGAACCAAGUUGUCCAUAGUAUAUACAGUCUAUGGUUCAAGCUUCAACUGCAGCUUCAGCAAAACAUUCUUUGUAUUUGGUGUUAAACCUUCCACCUCAUCUCUCCAUGCAGACUGAUCCCACAUACACAAAUCUGAGGAGCAGUGAGAUAAUCUCUUGCUAUAAACAGAGGAGAUCCUGAGGAGGAGGUGGGUUUGAAAUUUUGAGGGAAUCUGGAGUGACAGUAGAGCACAGACCAGCAAUCCUGCAGCCCUUAUAGACUGCUAACCUGGGAGGACACAUCUGUCAGGUGGUUGACACAAUGACUCAUACAAAUGUAAAGCUAGUGCAGCUUUAUAAUCUACUGCCUGCUUUUGCUCUCCAUACUAGCUGUUUUCUCUGCAAACACCCAAGUCUGCUAACACCUGAGUGAUCAAUACAAACAGCACUGCAGCAUCAUUGUAAUCUGUAAAUAGAUAGAUAGUCUACAGUGAACUUGAAUAACCUUUAGACUUUUCCUCUUGUCUGUGAGCAGAUUUCAGUUUGAUAAUGUUCAGACACCUGGAUUAGCUGUUCACAUGCUCUCAUUAAUGUUUUCUGUCUGAGUAUUUCAGAUAUCAGGAGCUUAUCAAGAUUUCAGCAUGAAGAUGAUGUUUGCAUGCACAUCUCAUCAGUAGGGUACUGAAAACCCAAACCACAGCCAGAAUCAGAGCACUCUCAUGUGGGUUUGGGUUUUCUCCUGGGAUUUGUCAACAAUAAAGAAAUGAAAUCCAAUCUUGCCAGCCUUAUCCUUAAAUAUGAGCCGUGUUUAUCUUCCUCUGACACACAGCCUCGUCUGGCCGUGGAGAUAGCGAACAGAAGCGUGACGUUUCAAUGGCACCGCAUCACAUUUUUAUACCAGAACAAGAUGUUCUGUUCACGGAGCCGAUCAAACCAUGACAACCAACAACCAUCAGCAUCUAUUUAUAUAAAAAGACUUUUAAUUAGUGAUUACACCUCAAAAUAAAGUCAUUAUUUGUGCGUAUCAGAUCCUUACUCUGUUCUGCAGCAACCAAUGCUGCAUUACGCUGAAAUAAAGUGAGAGUCCUGCAGACAUCUAAGCGGGCUUUCGGAGGUUUAAACAGCCAUGUUGAUUUAUGUCCAAACUGAGUGAAGGAGCGUCAGUGUGUUCAGGUCAGAGGCAGCUCCAGGAGCAACCUCGACAAAUAUGGAGACAGUAUUAUAAAUGAAUCACAACCACAGACAGAAUAAUAAAUAAUAAAUACCUGAUUAAAACAGAACUUCAGAUUCACCUCACAUGACCAUGCCCAUGUAAAUCACAAAUCCUCAGCAGUGUGAAAACCUGUUUUACCACAGCAGGAACACAUGAGCAUUAAACUGACAAACUUACAAACUCAAAGAUGUCACAAACACCCUGAAUAUGAUGUUUUACAUGUGUUUUCUUGGUAUUUCACACAGCUCACCUUCACAUGGAAGUGCUAACAAAGUCUGAAAACAACAGCGGCCCGUACAGAGCCAGCUACAGUGUCCUGUAGAGGACACAGAGCUGUGACAGACAGAGCAGCAGAUGUGGCCUAUAGAGGCUGAUGGCUGACAUUUACUUCAUAACAACCUGCUGCUCCGGCUGAGGAGCACCUGUCUGUCUGCUGUGAAUGAGUCUCAGUUUCACUGUCAAGUUUCGCUCUGACUCAGAUGACUCUGUAAUGGUCUACUCCGUGAUAACAGCAGAAAUCAGCUGAGCAGACAGUAAAGUCCUGACUGUCUGUGGAUCCAGUUAAAGUAUUUGAUUUUUUUCAAUCAAAUGAAAUCAAUGAACUUCCCUGAUUGAAAACACCUAAACGAGCCUAGGUGAGGUCUGAUUCAUAGGGACAAUGAAGGCUCUUAGACCUUCUCCUCCUCUGUUUCUUUCUCCUCCUUCUCCUCUUCAGUGUGAUCUAGGACAGGCUGUAUAUCUCAGCUCUCUGCUUUAUAUUCUGCUCCUCACUCUCUUUUUCACACACUCUGACGCUCUCAGGAUGGAUGGAGAGAAGAAAGAAAGAGAGCUACAAAGGGAAGCAGCCCUCUUUUUUCCUCUGUCCCUUCUUCCCUUCAUCCUUGGUACCUUUCCUCCUUCCUUAGUCCCUCCAUAGUUGUUUCUGUCCUCAGGCUGCUGCUCAGUAAACGUGCAGCUGUCACAGUCCCGCAUUAAUGUUUCAGCAGCUCUUCCUGCUCUUAGAGGUGAGGACAGUUCUUCUCUUACUUUGCUGCUGCUGAUGGUUCUUCUUAUCCUCCUCUUCAUUAGUCCAUUUAUUCCAGAAUAUUACACAGCUUUAGAGCAUGUUUGUCUGACCAAAUUGUACGGAGCAUUCAUAGAGAAUAUAGUAGGAACACAUUGUAGUUCCGAGCGGGUUAACUGAUGCAAACAUUCAGCUUCCUUUUGGCUGCUGUCUUUUUGAGCCCCCCGAGACAACUUUCUUCUGAUUAGCCACCUUUCUGGAGGCUGGAUGACCAAAGAGCUCAAUAUUUUGGUUCCACCCCCUCUUUCGUGGUCAAACAGUAGAGCAGCAGAGCAGCAUUACCUGCUUUGUUGUGGGUGUCACUUCACAAGCUGUUGGAGGAAGGCCGUUCUGGAAGCGCAGAUGAAACAGGAAGGAGAGAAGUCAGAAUUUCCAACUAGGGAAAGUUGGACGAUCCUCACCAACCCCACCUUGACGACGUAAUAAUCCAAGAUGGCAGUGCAGUGCAUCAACAGUAAAGAGUAACAAUGGAAGCUCUCGUUAUGUAUUAUUUAUUAGCACUUCUGUUUUGUUUUUGUGAAAUUAAAUAAGUGGUAUAUGUUGUACUGCCCAACGUCUAACUGUGAACACAGUGCUAUGGUGUUAGUAAGAGUAAAAUACUGUGUUAUGUGCUGUUUACAACUGGUAUAGGCUAGCUAACAACUACUAACAACUGCUGACAACAGCUAACAACAAUUACAUUCUCAUGUAUUUUCUAAGAUUAUGACAUCUUUUGUUUACCUCAUACAUCUAGUAUGGACACCAAACACUGUUACUUUGCAGUUUUUGUUGUAAAUUUGGAAAAGCAUGAUACAAUGUCUCAAAAAAAAAAGUUUUGAAACCCAUAAAGAAUAAAAGGAAACCUAUGAUAGAACAAAAACAUACAGUCGGGUGGUUUUCCAACAAUCUAAAGUAAAGACCAAACUGUUAAACUAGGAGGUUCUGUCUCAGAGGUGCUCUAAAUCCACAGAGGAGCACCACAAGGCUCAGUUCUGGGCCCACUCUUGUUUACUAUUUACAUAACUUGACCUUAACAGAGUGUCCCAAUCUCUACUUUUCACCUCUAUGCUGAUGACACUGUGAUUUAUUACUGCGCACCUUUACCUACUCAAACUUUGUCGAUUCUGCAGUAUUUGAUUUAGUCCACAGAAAACUGUUACCAAAAACUGUUUUAAAUACUCUGGGUUUUUGAUCAGGGACAGUUUGUCUCUAAGGAGCAGAUCCAGUUUGUUUCUGAUGAGCUGGUGGUUUUCCUACAAAAACAGAUCCUGCUUAAUCUUUGAUAGUGUAGUCUCCCUGUUAACCUGUCCUGUAUUAUGGGAAUGUCUUGUACAUGUCCUCUGCUCACAGUCUGAACAGUCUGAAAAUAAAACUUUCAAGUAUUUUUUUCCAGAAAAAAUCUACAGACAGUUUAAACUGCAAAGAUUAGUCAGCCUCAAAACCCCAGUUAAAGGUCUGUAGGUCAGGUUUCUGAGUGUGCAAAUGUUUAAGCUGGCCUCAUUUUAUGGGUUUUUAGCACUCCUGUAAAAGUCUGAGUGGUUAAAUGUCAAAACUUUUUGUUGCUGCUGUACUCAGCAAGGUAUAUCAUUGUAAAGAAAUCUCACUGGGAUUUACCUGUCGAAAGAAGGUUUGAACAAUAAAUAGAAUAGAAUUAGUCCUUCCACAGCUUCUGCAGCCUACAGUUACCCAUGAUGCCUUUCUCCAUAUGAACCCGCUGAGAUGUUCCCUGUAUCUGCAGAGAGCCGUUAUACCAGCGUCUGUCUUUAUUGCUCUGCUGCUCACACCAGACUGGGACUCAGCUGCAAACCCAGGAAGACGAUAAAGAUGAUUAUAAACGACCAUUUCUGACCACUGUUACACCAUUACUGAGGGUCUCUCUCUCCAUUUAUCAAGCUCUCCUCUGUCCUUUCUCUUUUUCUCCAUCUCCAUCUACCAGUCUCUCCUCUGUCCAUCUCUCUCUCUAUCCCCCUUUCUCCCCUCUCUAAACCUAGCUCAGUCUCAGCAGAUGACUGUCUGACAUGAGUUUGGUUUGCUUGUGGUUUCUGUCUGUUACAGAAAAGUUCUUCCUCUCCACUGUAACUAUAAAUGUUACACUCAUGUGGAUGAAGGUCUGAUCUUACAGGAUGUGCCUAGUGCUGUAUAGUGAUGAAUAGUGAUGUAUAGUGAUGAAUACACCAUUGAACACUUUUAACAGUCAGAGGACAAACUGAUGAGCCAUUUUUAGAACUAUGAAAAUGAUUGGCCCUGAGGAUAAAUAUAACAGAUAUAUGUUAUAUGUUUUUUUUUUUAUUGUCAUGGUGAUAGUGAACAGGAGAAGAGUUUAUUCAGGGUCAGAUGAGGUCAUGUGACAUUGACUCCAUCUCCUUGCCGCACUGAACCGCCAUGCUGCACGAGGUUAUCACCAGAUAACACCUGAUCAGAUCAGCAUGUAGCAGGAACAGCAGGUGUGUGUGUGUGUGUGUGUGUGUGUGUGUGUGAGAGUGAGUGCCAGCUGAAUGACCUACAGAAAGGACAUCACUGCACACACACACACACACACACACACACACACACACACACACACACACACACACACACACCCCUCUGCUCAACAAACACACUGUGGGUUGUUUCAUGCUGCAGUGCAUUUUGGGUAAGAGCAACAUCUGGCUGACAUAAAACACACAGUGCCCCCCUCUCCCCCUCUCUUUCUGUCUCUCUCUCUCUCUCUCUCUCUCUCUCUGUCUAUACCUCUCUCCCCUUUCCCCAUCCUGUCACAUUUCUCCUCCGUCAUCCUCCUCUCUUCUUUGUUUACCCUUUUCACUCCUUCGUUCCUCCUAUUUUCAUGUUUUCCUCUCUGUCUAUCUCUCCAUCUCAUUAUCUUUCCUCUUUUCUUCUCUCCUGCUUAGCUUCCUCCUCUAAUUUAUUCUCCUCUAUUUCUAACUCUCUUUUUCUUCAUCUCUCACUUUUUUUAUCUUUUCUAUCAUUCCUUUUUUGCCUCCUACUUCUCUUCCUUCUUCCUCUUUCAUCCCUUUUUCUCAUCGUUUUCCCUCUUCCUCCUUUUCUCCCCAACCUCUCUCUGUAUACUCCUUCUUUCACCUCCACGACUCCCUCUCUUUUUCCUCCCUGUCUCCCCCUCACUUCCACUACUACCCUGCCCUCUGUCCUAUCCUCCUCCUAACCUUUUCUCCUUCAUUCUUGUCCUCACCGUCUUCCUUCACCUCUUUCUUCCUUUCCUCUGCUCUAUGUCUCCAUCUCUUCCAUCCUUUAUUUCCUUGCUCUUUCCUCAAUUCUCAGCUACCCCCCCCCAUCUCAACCUUUUAUUAUGUUUUCUUCCCUCAUGUCAUCCUCUCUCCUCUUCACAUCCUCCACUCCUUCAUCUAUCUCUCUGUUCCUCUCUCUUUAUUCUCCUCUCCUACUCCUCCUC
rnacentral:lncRNA from 1 species